UUACGUGGCGGCGAAAGGAAGUGGACGGGAGAGGUCCUCUUGAAUUUCAAAGCAAAUAAGUUAAAUUAUAUAUUUAAAUGGCAUUCUCGGUCUUAGUGACUGGAGCCAAUCGCGGUAUUGGCUUGGAGCUAACGAGACGCCUGGUAUCUCAAUCUGGAACUGAUCAAGCCAAGCAUGUAUUUGCCACUUGCAGAAAUACCGGUGAUUGUAAGGAUCUUGAUGACAUCAAGGAAAAACAUGACAACCUCCAUAUCUUAGAGCUUGAUGUGACCGACGAGGCGAGCUACCCACGCCUGGUGAAACAGGUGGAACAGGUGGUCAAGGGUGACGGCCUGAACCUGCUCAUCAACAAUGCCGGCUUCGCCAACAACCAGCCGCUGCACGAGCUCACCUCCGAACAGAUGAGGCACAUGUAUGACGUCAACUGCAUCGCGCCCAUCAUGCUCACAAAGGCGUUCCUGCCGCUGCUGCGGGCGGGGUCACACGCCAACCCGGACCUGAGCGGGGAGAUCAUGUGCUGGAAGCGCGCCGCGGUGGUCAACAUCAACUCCAGGAUGGGGUCGAUCGCCGACAACGGCAUGGGCAAGUUCUACGCCUACCGCGCCAGCAAGGCGGCGCAGAACGCAGUAACGCGCUCACUGGGGAUCGACCUGCGACCCGAGCGUAUCCUGGUGGUCAGCGUCGACCCGGGCUGGGUGCAGACGCGCAUGGGCGGGCCCAACGGCAAGAUAUCGCCGGAGGAGAGCGCGCGCCGUAUCGUCAGCACCCUGUCCAAACUGGGACCCGAGCACACGUCCACCUACAUGGACAACUUGGGCGAGCCGCUCCCGUGGUGAAGUGCGCGGCGGGAGAAGAAUUCUCCUAUUUCAUAUACCUCCACGGCCCCGACCCCAAUGGCCGGUCCUGGUUCACUCUGAGAGGUCUCAGAGGUGCCAGUGAGCAGGGCAAAUGUUAAGGUCUGAAGCUCAGGUCAGAAACAUUUGUACGAAACCGAUUAGUUAUGUGAUGUCCUUUAGUCCGUUGUUUUAUGUUACGUGAAGAAAGAAUCGAAAUACUGUAUUUUAUCGCUGAGCUUACUGGUCUAGACGUGAAGUAUAUUCUGAUUUUUUUCUAGUAUGUUUAUGCACAAUUUUCAGAGUCUCUAUUGCCCUUCCCAUAUCAACCAAAUCGUCUCCAUGUUUUCAAACACUUCACUCAUGUGUCGUACGUGAACUAAAAUAAAUAUGCUUCGUAUUAAAA
rnacentral:misc_RNA from 1 species